AUUGAACGCUGGCGGCAGGCCUAACACAUGCAAGUCGAACGGUAGCAAAGAGAGCUUGCUCUCGGGUGACGAGUGGCGGACGGGUGAGUAACGUCUGGGAAACUGCCCGAUGGAGGGGGAUAACUACUGGAAACGGUAGCUAAUACCGAAUAACGUCGCAAGACCAAAGUGGGGGACCUUCGGGCCUAACACCAUCGGAUGUGCCCAGAUGGGAUUAGCUAGUAGGUGGGGUAAUGGCUCACCUAGGCGACGAUCCCUAGCUGGUCUGAGAGGAUGACCGGCCACACUGGAACUGAGACACGGUCCAGACUCCUACGGGAGGCAGCAGUGGGGAAUAUUGCACAAUGGGCGCAAGCCUGAUGCAGCCGUGCCGCGUGUAUGAAGAAGGCCUUCGGGUUGUAAAGUACUUUCAGCGGGGAGGAAGGCGGUGAAGUUAAUAACUUCACCGAUUGACGUUACCCGCAGAAGAAGCACCGGCUAACUCCGUGCCAGCCGCCGCAGUAA
rnacentral:rRNA from 1 species